rnacentral:rRNA from 1 species
AAGGGCACCACAAGAACGCGUGGAGCAUGUGGCUUAAUUUGACUCAACGCGGGAAAUCUUACCGGGUCCGGACACACUGAGGAUUGACAGGCAAUAUUAAAAUGAUAUUUUUAAUAUUAUUUUAUGUUAAAUAUGCUAGUCCUUUCAUGAUUAUGUGAUAGGUGGUGCAUGGCCGUUCUUAGUUCGUGGAGUGAUCUGUCUGCUUAAUUGCGUUUCACUAAGGGCUUAUAAAUUACGUGUGUUUGUAACACUUUGACCCCUAUGUUUUUUUUAUUAAAAAUGUAGCGCGUUGUCUUAGUUUGUUUACUCCGCACAAUUAAGUCCUGAAAGCAACGAACGUGACCGCAACCUCUUGUUGCCUCUUGCACAAUCCUUAAUCAGAAGUUAACAAUUAUUUUUAUUAAUUUUUGUUUUAUUUCUUUAAGAAAAAGGGGCUUUUUAAACUAGAGGGACCGCUGUAACUUUUUUAAACCAGAGGAAGGUUGCGGCAAUAACAGGUCUGUGAUGCCCUUAGAUGUUCCGGGCUGCACACGUGCUACAAUGAUUAUUGCAGUGAGCAUCUCAUAUUACACACCGCAAGCGCGAGGCCAGUUUUGUUAUCAUCUUUUUGGAUGUGCCUAACUGUUGUUUCUUUGCGCAGCGGUAAAGCCUACUUCGAAAGUUAGUGGGUAAUCAAUUAGAAGUAAUGAUUUCCUUUUUUUCCAGCACACAUAUAUACGGCGUUGUAACCCGGAAUAGUCUUUGUAUUAUUUUUUGUGUGUUUCAAUGUUUUUUUCCGUAUGUGCAAUUGUCAAUUCAUGGUGGGGACAGACCAUUGUUAAUUGUUGGUCUCGGUCUUAACUAGGAAUGCCUUGUACGGGUCUUU